rnacentral:rRNA from 1 species
AUCUUGGGAAAUUUCAUCGUGAUGGGGAUAGAUCAUUGNAANUGUUGGUCUUCAACGAGGAAUGCCUAGUAAGCGCGAGUCAUCAGCUCGCGUUGACUACGUCCCUGCCCUUUGUACACACCGCCCGUCGCUCCUACCGAUUGAAUGGUCCGGUGAAGUGUUCGGAUCGCGGCGACGGGGGCGGUUCGCCGCCCCCGACGUCGCGAGAAGUCCAUUGAACCUUAUCAUUUAGAGGAAGGAGAAGUCGUAACAAGGUUUCCGUAGGUGAACCUGCGGAAGGAUCAUUG